rnacentral:rRNA from 1 species
UACGAAGGUGGCAAGCGUUGUUCGGAUUCACUGGGCGUACAGGGUGUGUAGGCGGUUUGGUAAGCCUUCUGUUAAAGCUUCGGGCCCAACCCGGAAAGCGAAGAGGGUACUGCCAGGCUAGAGGACGGGAGAGGAGCGCGGAAUUCCCGGUGUAGCGGUGAAAUGCGUAGAGAUCGGGAGGAAGGCCGGUGGCGAAGGCGGCGCUCUGGAACGUUACUGACGCUGAGACACGAAAGCGUGGGGAGCAAACAGG